UCUGGUUGAUCCUGCCAGUAGUUAUAUGCUUGUCUCAAAGAUUAAGCCAUGCAUGUCUAAGUACACACGAAUUAAAAGUGAAACCGCAAAAGGCUCAUUAUAUCAGUUAUGGUUCCUUAGAUCGUUAACAGUUACUUGGAUAACUGUGGUAAUUCUAGAGCUAAUACAUGCAAUUAAAACAUGAACCUUAUGGGACAUGUGCUUUUAUUAGGCUAAAACCAAGCGAUCGCAAGAUCGUUAUAUUGGUUGAACUCUAGAUAACAUGCAGAUCGUAUGGUCUUGUACCGACGACAGAUCUUUCAAAUGUCUGCCCUAUCAACUUUUGAUGGUAGUAUCUAGGACUACCAUGGUUGCAACGGGUAACGGGGAAUCAGGGUUCGAUUCCGGAGAGGGAGCCUGAGAAACGGCUACCACAUCUAAGGAAGGCAGCAGGCGCGUAAAUUACCCACUCCCAGCUCGGGGAGGUAGUGACGAAAAAUAACAAUACAGGACUCAUAUCCGAGGCCCUGUAAUUGGAAUGAGUACACUUUAAAUCCUUUAACAAGGACCAAUUGGAGGGCAAGUCUGGUGCCAGCAGCCGCGGUAAUUCCAGCUCCAAUAGCGUAUAUUAAAGUUGUUGCGGUUAAAACGUUCGUAGUUGAACUUGUGCUUCAUACGGGUAGUACAACUUACAAUUGUGGUUAGUACUAUACCUUUAUGUAUGUAAGCGUAUUACCGGUGGAGUUCUUAUAUGUGAUUAAAUACUUGUAUCUUUUCAUAUGUUCCUCCUAUUUAAAAACCUGCAUUAGUGCUCUUAAACGAGUGUUAUUGUGGGCCGGUACUAUUACUUUGAACAAAUUAGAGUGCUUAAAGCAGGCUUCAAAUGCCUGAAUAUUCUGUGCAUGGGAUAAUGAAAUAAGACCUCUGUUCUGCUUUCAUUGGUUUUCAGAUCAAGAGGUAAUGAUUAAUAGAAGCAGUUUGGGGGCAUUAGUAUUACGACGCGAGAGGUGAAAUUCUUGGACCGUCGUAAGACUAACUUAAGCGAAAGCAUUUGCCAAAGAUGUUUUCAUUAAUCAAGAACGAAAGUUAGAGGUUCGAAGGCGAUCAGAUACCGCCCUAGUUCUAACCAUAAACGAUGCCAGCUAGCAAUUGGGUGUAGCUACUUUUAUGGCUCUCUCAGUCGCUUCCCGGGAAACCAAAGCUUUUGGGCUCCGGGGGAAGUAUGGUUGCAAAGCUGAAACUUAAAGGAAUUGACGGAAGGGCACCACCAGGAGUGGAGCCUGCGGCUUAAUUUGACUCAACACGGGAAAACUUACCAGGUCCGAACAUAAGUGUGUAAGACAGAUUGAUAGCUCUUUCUCGAAUCUAUGGGUGGUGGUGCAUGGCCGUUCUUAGUUCGUGGAGUGAUUUGUCUGGUUAAUUCCGAUAACGAACGAGACUCAAAUAUAUUAAAUAGAUAUCUUCAGGAUUAUGGUGCUGAAGCUUAUGUAGCCUUCAUUUCAUGUUGGCAGUAAAAUGCUUAUUGUGUUUGAAUGUGUUUAUGUAAGUGGAGCCGUACCUGUUGGUUUGUCCCAUUAUAAGGACACUAGCUUCUUAAAUGGACAAAUUGCGUCUAGCAAUAAUGAGAUUGAGCAAUAACAGGUCUGUGAUGCCCUUAGAUGUCCUGGGCUGCACGCGCGCUACAAUGAAAGUAUCAACGUGUAUUUCCUAGACCGAGAGGUCCGGGUAAACCGCUGAACCACUUUCAUGCUUGGGAUUGUGAACUGAAACUGUUCACAUGAACUUGGAAUUCCCAGUAAGUGUGAGUCAUUAACUCGCAUUGAUUACGUCCCUGCCUUUGUACUACACACCGCCCGUCGCUACUACCGAUUGAAUUAUUUAGUGAGGUCUCCGGACGUGAUCACUGUGACGCCUUGCGUGUUACGGUUGUUUCGCAAAAGUUGACCGAACUUGAUUAUUUUAGAGGAAGUAAAAGUCGUAACAAGGUUUCCGUAGCGUGAACCUGCGGAAG
rnacentral:rRNA from 1 species